rnacentral:rRNA from 1 species
GAUGAACGCUGGCGGCGUGCUUAACACAUGCAAGUCGAACGAAGCAAUUUAUUACGAUCCCUUCGGGGUGACGAUUUGUUGACUGAGUGGCGGACGGGUGAGUAACGCGUGGGUAACCUACCUUGUACAGGGGGACAACAGUUGGAAACGACUGCUAAUACCGCAUAAGCGCACAGCUUCGCAUGAAGCAGUGUGAAAAGUUUUUUCGGUACAAGAUGGACCCGCGUCUGAUUAGCUAGUUGGUGAGGUAACGGCCCACCAAGGCGACGAUCAGUAGCCGACCUGAGAGGGUGACCGGCCACAUUGGGACUGAGACACGGCCCAAACUCCUACGGGAGGCAGCAGUGGGGAAUAUUGCACAAUGGGCGAAAGCCUGAUGCAGCGACGCCGCGUGAGCGAAGAAGUAAUUUCGGUAUGUAAAGCUCUAUCAGCAGGGAAGAUAAUGACGGAACAU